UACGUAGGGCGCAAGCGUUGUCCGGAAUUAUUGGGCGUAAAGAGCUCGUAGGCGGUUUGUCGCGUCUGCUGUGAAAACUCGAGGCUCAACCUCGGGCUUGCAGUCGGGUACGGGCAGACUAGAGUGCGGUAGGGGUGACUGGAAUCCUGGUGUAGCGGUGGAAUGCGCAGAUAUCAGGAGGAACACCGAUGGCGAAGGCAGGUCACUGGGCCGCAACUGACGCUGAGGAGCGAAAGCAUGGGAGCGAACAGG
rnacentral:rRNA from 1 species